rnacentral:ncRNA from 1 species
AUAAAUUUUUUAUGAUUUAUAUAAUUUUUUUUAAAUUUAUUUUACAUAUAAAUUUUAGUAUAUAAUUUUAAUUAUUUUAAUAAUAAUUAAUUUUUUUAAGUAGUAAUUAAUAUUAAAAAUUUAAGAAAUUAAGAUUUAGUAAUAUAAAAAUUAAUAACAAAUUUUGUGCCAGCAGUUGCGGUUAUACAAAAAUUAAAUUAAAUUUUAUUAGAUAUUAAUAAAUAAUUUAAAAAUUAAUUUAAAUAUGAAAUUAUUAGGUGAAAUUUUAAUUUAAUUAAAAAUUAAAAUUUAAUUAUGAAUUAAUAAAUUUUAUUAUAAACUAGGAUUAGAUACCCUAUUAUUAAAAAUUUAAAUAAAUAUUCUAAAAUAGUAGAUAAUUAUUUAUUGAAACUUAAAUAAUUUGGCGGUAUUUUAGUUCAUUUAGAGGAAUCUGUUUAUUAAUUGAUAAUCCACGAAUAAUUUUACUUAAUUAACAAUUUUGUAUAUCGUUGUUAAAAAAAUAUUUUUAAAAAAUUUUAAUAUUUAAAAAUUUAGAAUUGAAAUUAAAUCAGAUCAAGAUGCAGAUUAUAAUUAAGAAUAUAAUGGAUUACAAUAAAUUUAUUUAUAUGAAUAUUUUAUUGAAAAAUUAAAUUGAAAGUGGAUUUAAAUGUAAUUUUAUUUAGUUUAAUAAAAUGAUUAAAAAUUAAAAUAUGUACAUAUUGCCCGUCGCUUUCAUUUAUAAGUUGAAAUAAGUCGUAACAAAGUAGAGGUACUGGAAAGUGUUUCUAGAAAG